ensembl:lncRNA
ACGGCCACAAUGCCUGAAGAAUUGAAAGAAUGUCUUUCCCCAUGUCCUUGUGCUGCGACUGAGCCUGGCAAACAAAAAAAUAAAAUAUUUUUUUCUUAAAGCAGAAAAGAGGAGGAGGAAGAGCAGAUUAAAAAUAAAGCACUGUUCCUUGUGGUGACAGCAUCUGAGGGCAUGUAGGCCUUGGGAAACAUUGUGGAGGAAAGGAUGGAAGAUGGACUCUUUCCUCUCUCAAUUGGAAGUGAAAAUGCAUCUGGGUGCGUGAAAGAUGCGAAUAUCAGCUGUGUUGUGCCAGCAGCCACAUCAGGCAGAACUAUGUGCAGGCAUGGGAAUGCACAGGGAACCUCUUCUGCUGCUUCCACUGCUUCAGCCAAGUUUCCAGCCUCAGCCAGGACUUACUGCAAAGCAUCAAGCUCGGUUGCAUGAAGCAAAUGAGAAGAAAGAGCGAUUAAUAGCAUCACUCUCUGGGAAAAACUUCAUCUUCCUGUCCUCAUCUUGCCCCAUGGAGCAUGUCAUCAACUUGAGAAACUCCCAGCAGGAGAGAGAGCAAGUUCACAUCCAGCUUCCUGCAGUCCCAGGCUUGAAGAUAGCUCUGCUCAGAGAAUCUUUUCAGAAGGAGCAGAAUUAAAUUUCUCUUCCUGAGCUUUUCAGAGCAUGAAAGCUGUAUUCAAACAUACAAAGGGGUAGCAUUUUGUGAAAAUAUGUUCAUUUUAAUAUCAUCUUUAAAGAAAACAAAAACAAACACACCUUGGAUUGUUCCUUAUUUAAUUUUUAAAAAAUGAAGAGAAAGGAGCAAGACAGGAUAUACCAAGGACAUUUUCCUUAAGCAUGCCAUCUGUUUUCUGAAAUUUGAAAUCUGGAAAAGAAACAUUGCCUGUAAUCUUGAAUCUUAUUUGCUGGUUGUUUUUUUUUUUUUUUUUUUGUGUUUGUUUGUUUGCUUGUUUGUGCUUUUACAUGGUGGCCUCAUGUGUGUAAUGAAUGCUAUAUAUGCUCAUCCCUCCCACCACAGACUAGCUCUGCUCUGGUGUUUUGGAUUUGUCCCAAAGCGUCUAGUGAGGAUAAAGGUAGCAAUAGCUUAGACAAGGCUCAAAGGGUUGUCCAGCAGGUCCCCAAAUAAUCAAGGUCUUUCUCCCUUUGCAAACAUGCCAACAUAUUAUAGAUGCUGCAGGUGUAACAUAAAUGCACUUAAUGCAGUAGUUCUUUUUUUUUCUGAGCCCUAUUAGAAAGAAGAAAUGAGGAAGGGAAAACCAGCUGAAUCCUCAGUCUGCUCUCAGCGUGGGCAACACAGAAUGGCCCUGAAACACAUAUGGGAAGGAGGAGAAGCAGCAGACAGAUGUAUUUACCAGCUCUUUCUGAAACCAGACAAAAGCUUUCAUUAAGGACAGCCAUUUGGGCAUCUUCCUCAGGCUCACCAUCUGAUAAAAAGGCUAAACAUCACGCUAGAGGAGCCGUGCAGAGGGUUGUCCUAGGGUCUGGACUGUGUGCAAACGGUUGAGUCCAUCCUGAGCUAGGAAGAAGGAGAGUCUUGGCUAGCUGUCGGCAGUCUUCUUGUACCUGUGGGUGCUGGUGAAUCCAAAUACAUCCAGACAUUCUGGUUCCUGGUCCUCUUUUGUGGCAAAGGGAGAUUU